rnacentral:rRNA from 1 species
UGAACGCUAGCGGCAGGCUUAACACAUGCAAGUCGAGGGGCAUCGGGAGUAGCAAUACUGCCGGCGACCGGCGCAAGGGUGCGUAACGCGUGAGCAACAUGCCCGUAUCAGGGGGAUAAUCCAUGGAAACGUGGUCUAAUACCCCAUAGUAAUUAUGUAAGGCAUCUUAUAUAAUUUAAAGCUUUGGUGGAUACGGAUUGGCUCGCGUGACAUUAGCUAGAUGGUAAGGUAACGGCUUACCAUGGCUACGAUGUCUAGGGGUUCUGAGAGGAAGGUCCCCCACACUGGAACUGAGACACGGUCCAGACUCCUACGGGAGGCAGCAGUGAGGAAUAUUGGACAAUGGAUGGAAAUCUGAUCCAGCCAUGCCGCGUGCAGGAAGACGGCCCUAUGGGUUGUAAACUGCUUUUGUAUGGGAGCAAUAAGGGCUACGCGUAGUCCGAUGAGAGUACCAUACGAAUAAGCACCGGCUAACUCCGUGCCAGCCGCCGC